rnacentral:rRNA from 1 species
UGGGGAAUAUUGGACAAUGGGCGCAAGCCUGAUCCAGCCAUGCCGCGUGAGUGAUGAAGGCCUUAGGGUUGUAAAGCUCUUUCACCCACGACGAUGAUGACGGUAGUGGGAGAAGAAGCCCCGGCUAACUUCGUGCCAGCAGCCGCGGUAAUACGAAGGGGGCUAGCGUUGUUCGGAAUUACUGGGCGUAAAGCGCACGCAGGCGGUUCGGUCAGUCAGAAGUGAAAGCCCCGGGCUUAACCUGGGAACUGCUUUUGAUACUGCCGAGCUUGAAUCACGGAGAGGGUAGUGGAAUUCCGAGUGUAGAGGUGAAAUUCGUAGAUAUUCGGAAGAACACCAGUGGCGAAGGCGACUACCUGGCCGUCGAUUGACGCUCAUGUGCGAAAGCGUGGGGAGCAAACA